AUGCCGCGCGCCCCUCCCCAGCUGCCAAGACGGCCCUCACUCUGGAAUGGAUGGGGGGGGGUGGCUGAGUCACCAAGGUUCAGCCCGGGCGACAAGCAGCAGGAGGCGACUCAUCUGCAUUUCCAAAGGCCCGCCCCGUCCGCAUCCCCUCCCCCAGGAAGGGCCGGAGAUGAGGGUUUACCCCAGAGCCCUCCGCCUCUGGGGAUCCCGGGGAAGGCCCGCUCAGCCUUCCCAGGCCCCAACCCCCACCGCAGCUCUAGAGCCUCCGGGUGGAGGGCGUGCCGCGGGCGGCCAAGCCCGGGCGUCGGCGGCCUCCGCGAGGGCCUCGCGCCCAAAGUGGGGACAAAGGGGGCCCCCCGCCCCUCGGGCUCUGCGAUCCAAGGACGCCCUAAACAGGGGCGCCCAGGCCCGGGUCGGCGGCGAGGGAGGCUUCCGCGGCCUCCGGGGCAGCCGGCCGGGUCAGGGGGCGGCCUCGAGGCCGCGGCAGGCCCCGUGGCCCGCUGCUACUGGCUCCCGCGCGGGAGGAAGGAGGGAGGGCCCCGCGGCCCGGUCUGCGAGCGAGACCGCGUGGCCCGGCGCGGGGUCCGAGGGGCGGCGGAGCCCGCGCUCGUCGUCGAGGCCUCCCGGGCCAGGGCGUCCACGCGGGAGGCGGCCUCUCCUCCCCUCCCCCCGGCCGCCGCCUCCUCCCUCCUCCCGCCGGCGCGCGGCAGCCGCCACCGCCCGAGCCGCGGGCGGCGCGCGAAAUGGCGCCCGUCUGGCCGCCUCGCCCGGCAGAGGAGAGCGCGGGAGCCGCGGCGCGCGACGCCCCCAGGCCCGCGGCCCCCGAAACGGCCUCCGCGCCCCCCCCCAGGCCCGGGGCGCUGGGCCCUGCGGGCUCUCGGGGCCGCCGCCCGCGCCGGGCUCCCGACCGCGACCGGGGAAGGAGGGAGGAAGGCAGGAGAGCCGGGGCCGCCAUUAGCCGCCGCAGCCCGCCCGCCAGCCUGCCAGCCCGGCCCCGGCGGCGGCGCCGCGCUGAACCUGAAAAUAAAACUCGAGUUUGGGAGGGAGGAGCGAGCGCGGCCGGAGCACAGGCAGCGCGGGCAGCGGGCUGAGAGAUGCUGCGUCAUGGUGCCAACAUGGACGCCGGCCUUUGUCCUUUCUGCUUGGGAAGUGCAGGCGCGCCCCGGAGCCCCGCGAGCCGGCCUCGGAGGGCGAGCCCCCCCCAGUCCAAAGGGAACGAGGCCCUAG
rnacentral:lncRNA from 1 species